CGGAGGGUGCAAGCGUUAUCCGGAUUCACUGGGUUUAAAGGGUGCGUAGGUGGCUUUGUAAGUCAGUGGUGAAAUCUUAGAGCUUAACUCUAAAACUGCCAUUGAUACUGCUUAGCUUGAAUCAAGUAGAGGUGGAUGGGAUAAUACAUGUAGCGGUGAAAUGCUUAGAUAUGUAUUAGAACACCGAUUGCGAAGGCAGUUCACUAUGCUUGUAUUGACACUGAGGCACGAAAGCGUGGGGAUCAAACAGGAUUAGAUACCCUGGUAGUCCACGCCCUAAACGAUGUAAACUCGACAUUAGCGAUAUACAGUUAGUGUCCAAGCGAAAGCGUUAAGUUUACCACCUGGGAAGUACGUCCGCAAGGAUG
rnacentral:rRNA from 1 species